UCUCGUCCGAUGUCCAGAGGGCGCCGGCAAGAGGGUCGGUCGCGGCUAUUCCGGCAACGGCCGCAGCGAGCGUAUCCAGCGUGGAACGUCCCGCGUGGCGUGCCGUCGUGCCGUCGAGGUGACGCUCCGGAUCGACCACCAUGACGCGGGCCGUGGCGAUGCUCGCAGCGUCGAGCGCACCGCGCGCGACGAGAUCCGAUACGCACGGUGCGUCAUAGGCCUCGAUGGCCUCGGCGAUGUCGGGACGGGUGGCCAGCGCCUGCACCUGAAUCUUGCGUUCGUCCCACGAGAUGACGGCGUGACGCGCCGUCAACAGCACGGCGGCGGUGAGCGCCGGUCGCGCGUGGACGAGGCCGCGCGCGAGCGCCUCCAUAAGACUCAGGAGGGCCAUGACGGCCCGUUCGCAGUUGGCGCCGCGCGCCACCGCCAGCAGCGGCCCAAAGGCCCACGCCACGGGGCGGCAAAAGAACUCGCGUGCGGCGCGGCCGGCCAGCGUCGGCCAAUAGGGGUGGGCGGCGUCGGCGCCGGGCUCGGCGUUGAUCAAACGCAUGGCAUCGUCCACGAAUGACGGCCUGUGCGGGGCCGCAGCGCCCUUGGGCGGCCACUCGACGCGUCGGCACUCGAUGCACUCGAUCGCCAACACGAUAUGGCCUAAUGCGAGCACGCCCUCUUCGACCAUGAGCGUGGUGCCUUCGGCAAGCGCCGCCGCAUCUUGCAUGUCGACCGCCUCUCCCUCUGCAGGCGGUUGCGCUGCCGCUCCUCCUUCUCGCUCCAAUGGCCCUUGCCCUUGUUGCGCCUCGUCCAUGUCGGUGCCGGUGUCGUCCUUCUGCGCCUCCUCGAUGUCGGCGGGCGUGACGCCGUUGGCCCACACUUCGGACGCCACGCGCGCCAGACCGGCAAAAGUGGCCACGGCGCGCUGGGCGUCGAUCCGACCGCAUGCCUCGAUGGCGGCGGCGGCCGCUGCUUUGCGCGCAGACGGCACCGGCUCGGCGAUCGAGGCAGCCCAUGCGACCGAAUCGGUGAGGAGCGCGUGGCCGCCCAUCUCAUCAAAGGCCGUCUCCGUGGUCAUGGAGGCCACCAGCGGCUCCAGGUCGACCUCGAUCGUCUUGAUGCUGGCGUCGGCCACGAGACGACUCUUGGGCCAUGAGGCCGUCGCCGCCACGACCGCGGCCAGGUGCGCGCGCGCCUCUCUGUGCUUGCCGGCGGCGACGCUGGCCUCCCACAUGGCCAUGGAGGCGAGCACGGCCGACAGGGCCAUGGGCGACGCCAGCCCGACGUCUUCGACGCACGCCGUCGCCAGCGAGGCAAACACACCGGCGCCGUCGCCGCUGCGGUCGCGCUCGACGGCGACGCGCACCGCAUCGACCUGGUGCCCGCGACGCAAGCACGUGCGCAGCGCGCAUGCCAUCUCGGUCGCGUCGUACCAGUUGGCCGUGAGGGCCGGCGACGUCGCCUCGUCGGCCGGCGUCGGGCGCUUCUUCUUGGCCGCUGUGCUCAUGGAUGCUCGCGGACGGGCAGAGGCCGAAGCGGGAAAAAAAGGAAGGAGAAGAAGAGCCGGUUCAAAAAGAAAAAAAGGAAAAAAGAGGGCGAAACAAAGAACAAGCGUGUCUGCGCGGUCGCUCGAUCAAAGGAGGAGGAGGAGGAGACAAAAAAAGGACGACGGCGACGACAGUGGCGGCGGGCAGAUUAUGCUCUCCCGUCUUGUCUGCUGCUCGCUCUUUUCGGUCUGCGGCUAUUUUGCUUGGCGUGUCUAGCGUGAUCCAAUCUGACGGCGUUUGUUGCGCUCUCUCUUGGGCGUUGUGCUCGCUCGGUCUCUCUUCCUCUGCCCCGGCGCGCUCUUGUCUCCUUUUUUUUGGAUUCUUUUUCGAGCAAUUCCUGUGCCCGUCCUCGGCUUUUUUUUGGCUCCCUAUGACGGCGUGCGGUCCGUCCCUUUUGCCUCUUGCCGGCUCUCUUUUUU
rnacentral:lncRNA from 1 species